rnacentral:lncRNA from 1 species
GGGGAAACCCGGCCGCGGCGGAGAGGCCCGCAACCAGCCCGGAGGCUCUCACCUGCGGCAGCCGGAGGAGGAUGCCGGCGGCCUGGAUGAGCUCGCAGCCCAAGAUGCGCAGGUCGGUCUCGCUGGGCAGGUCGAGGCCGUCCUGCAUGGACGGGGUAGGCGAGAGCCGUUCCUCCGGGAUCAGCGAGUGGUCGAUGGUGAGCGACACCUCCGAAUACAGGCGGUCGCCGAUCAGGAUCCCUCCGGUCGUCGUCGUCGUCGUGGUGGUCGUGCCGGAGCUGGAGCCGCCCGCGCUCGGGGCGGCGGACGAGGCGGCGGCGGCAGCGGCGGCGGCGGCGGCGGCAGCGGUCGAGGUCGGGUGAGGCCCGGACGCCAUAGUUGCAGCGAGCUCCACGCACGGCCGACGCAGCCGGAACCCAAAGCGAGACUAACCAGCGUCCUCGGCGCGACGGAUCUUCCCGUGACCGCCGGCUUCCAGGCCGCCGCACGCAGCGUGCGCUUCCGCCCUGACGUCACCACGCCGGCACCCGCCCUGCUCUGCCCCACCCCACCCCACCCGCGGCGCGCGCCAACGAGUUCCUCCGCGCUUGGGUCGGUGGCCCGGGGCGGAGGGGUCGGGAUAGGCAGGGCAGAGAGGGGUGCUGGUGGCUCAGGGCUGGUAAUAGCUUUAGGCACCGGAUAAUCCGGAAUCUGGCCUGCUGAGUCGUCCCCGGACACCCUUGCGCGGUCUGCGCCUUGGGGACAGUCCGGCGGUCGGCGACACCGGAGUGUAACAAAGUGACUCUGAACCCGGCAGCUUCACCGUUUGAGCGCCUGGGGUUUCCGGAAAGCUCCGAGCGCGCGUGGGUGUCGGGGUGUAGCCUAGAAAGGCAUGCCUGGCUGGCCCUGACCUCACUUCGCCGGGUUUACAGUAAUCUGGAAAAUCCCUAGUUCCAAAAAUAGGUUUAGGGCGAGGACAAUACACGGGCGAUUUCAUUGCGCUGGGGAGUCUCGUCUUAAAUGGUUUCUGUCAGAGGGGAGGGAAAGUAACUAUCCCUGUGUCAACGAAGAGAAAAACACAGCUCUCAUCUUACACGGAGUUUGGGAUAACCUAAAUCUGUGUUCCAGGACCAUGGUCAAUCAAAAUGGCUCCAGGAUAGACCCAUCUUUUAUUCCCUUUAAGAUGAGAGCUGUGGUUUUCACGUCCACUCUAAAAGUCCCAAAAGCUGAGGUCGACCGUGAAACAAUUGAUCCUUCUGCCUCUGGCCUCCCAUGAUCUUUUUAUUCCAGCUUAAUCCUCUGAGAUAUCCUUUAGGGAGAAAGAAAAAUCUCCUGACUCAGUACAAAGGCUUGAGAUUGUUGUUUUGAUAAAGCUUACUUUCCUGAUGAAAAGUGCCUUGACCUUGGACCUAUAAAGAGCUCUGAGAAUUUGGAUACAUCUUAGUAUUUGUCAGUGAUGUCACCAAAGCAAGGUAUUUUCACAGCUCAUUUUUACUGAGUGUGUUGGGACGGGCACUCUGGAGACAAAGAUAGGUGGAUCUCAGAGUAGAGGGUCAGACUGAUUCCAAGCCAGUCAGAGCUAUAUAAUAAGAUCUUCAAAAGGAAACAAAACCUCUUAAAACAAAGCAAAAAACCCUAUAUAGAGCAGGAAGUGGUGGCACAAGCCUUUAAUCCCAGUACUCAACAAAAACCUCAAAAACAAAGUUUAUGAUUGUGAUAGCUUUUUGUCACCGACAGAUUACCUAGAAAGUCCACAAUGAGGAUUUAUUUUGGUUUAUGGUCUCUGGGGUUUCAGGCUACAGUCAUGUGGCCCUUACCUGUAGGACUGUGUAGGCAGAACUUUAUGGUGUGAGAACUUGGUAAAAACAAAUCCCUUGCCACUAGCAAAGAGAACAGGGAAUAUAUCCAGGGAUCUUCCUCCUCAAGUAGGUUGCCACCUCCUAAGUUUUGUCCAGCUAUGACCUCAUUGUUGGAUUAACCCAUUUAUGAGGUAUGCACCUUUGUGAUUAAAUCACCUCAGUGCCACUAGCUAAGGACAGGCUCUUCACAGGAUCUGUGUGGCAGGCAUUUCAUAUCCAAACUUUCUGUGAAAGUACUGGAGACACAAGUCCAGGGGAGAGGUAUGUCGGGACAAAACUUUUCCUAGUGAGACACUACAGACACAUCAAGUAUUCACCUCAGAUAGGGAACCUACCACAGACCAAAGUAUGGAUACCGCCAGAGUGAAAACUUGGUGACCCAAUGAGCUUUAUGAGGGCUACUACAGGAAUGUGGGUGAGGAGCAAAAAUGAUUUGGAUAGCUGCACCACCAGUGUGCAAUUCUAGGCAUAUUUUAGGUACAGCACAAUUUAGUGAAAACUUUCUUGGUGAUGAUUAACUCAAUCCCAUGUGGACAAUAAAGUUUAAAGUGUGACUUCCUCAAAAAAACUUUGUAAAGAACACGUGACAUCUUCCAUAAAGAUGGGUUCUGUAGAUUGACUACAUGAGACACCUUCCAUAAUGAUCAAUUCUGUAGGUGGCAUGCGCAUGAUAAGGGUCUGGAGAAAAGCUGAUGUGGUCGUGGCCACACAGCAGAAAAGGUCCCCAGGCUAUUAGUCACAUCUGCUCCUAGCCUUCUGGGUGGAUAGCAGGUUAUACACCCCUUCCUUUGAAGGAGCAACCCUGUGUUUAACAUUGCUGGCUCCUACCUGGGAGUGGUGGUACACACCUUUAGUCCUGGCCCUUGGGAGGCAGAGGCAGGUGGAUCUCUAAGUUUGAGGGUAGCCAGGACAGCCAGAGCUACACAGAGAAACCCUGUCUUGAAAAACAAAACAUUCUUGGUUCCCCUGUUGCUUGCCUGUUGAGCACAAGGACUUUCGUUCCCCCCACAGGAAGAGAUGGCUGAACAUGUUAUAAAUACUUGCUCCUCUCUAUGUCACCAAACUACCGUUACUAUUUCUCUUUUCAAAAUUGGCCAUGACUAAUCCAGAAGAUGGGAGGUAAUGGGCUAAUGCCCGGACUCUACGAGGGUUUUGCUCAUUAAGUAACUCAUAUUCUUUCUGUGAUAUAAUCUAAGCUUGGAAAAACCAUUGCAUUAUUUGUAAGUUAUUUUGGAGAAAAUUUUGUUUCCAAAUUACUAUCCACUUCCAAAACAGCCACAUUAAAAUGUGGAAAGACAAGGCUUGUUUAGAAUUACCAAGAAUUCAGGGAAGAGUAAAGACGCAUGUUAUUCAUAGAAAAGCAUUAGUGGAGAUGAAUCCAGUCAAGUGAGGCUGUUGGGAGGCAAAUGACUGCAUUGAAUAUGUGAAAUGUGUACAUACACACAUAAUAUUCUACUGUUAUUACUAUUAUUAUUUAUUAUGGUGGCCCAGGUUGGCAUGAAUUCAUUGCAGCCAUCUUGUGUUAGCUUCCCAAGUGCUGGUAUUACAGACCCGAGCCACCACACCCAGCCUUGUUUAUCUUUAUAGGCAGGGAUCCUACUAGUUCAACCUGAGUUCUUUGUGUCUGAAAGGAAACUUAGUGAAAGUAAAGUUAGUUUCUACUGCUUUAAGACAGGUGGAAUUCAGAUGAUACCAGAAAGACUAAUUAAUGGCUUUCUUGAGGUACUAAAGUAUCAUAUUCCCUGUGCUUAAACUGUUCUCAUGUCAUUCGAUGGCAAGUGUGUCUUUUGGUUAUCAUUUAAACAUCAGUUUUUAAGUUCUGAAACCAAAAUUACUAUUUUUAUUUCUUUAGUAAUAUUCAUUCACUAUUUUACUACAGGAAUUUAAUAACACACCACAAAAAUCGAGCCUAAAAUCAAAUGAAAUUAAGCUCCAGAAGAAGGACUUCUGGGGCUGGAGAGAUGGCUCAGUGGUUAAGAACACCGACUGCUCCUCCAGAGGUCCUGAGUUCAAAUCCCAGCAACCACAUGGUGGCUCACAACUAUCUAUAAUGAGAUCUGUUGCCCUCUUCUGGUGUGUGACAGUUUAGGACAUGCCAUAUGUUUCAAACAACCAUUCAAUCUUUUUCAAACUGACCAACCCUAAAGUAGGGGUCGGAAGACCCUUCAGAGGCUUUAAAACCCCCAUACCCCAAGAAGAGAUUUCAUUUUCAGAAUAUCGUCCUCUGAUUUGCAGAAGAUUUUUUUUCCUCUGUGUGUUUGCUACCUGGGUGUGCCCCUCACCCUCAAUAAACACCUUCCUUUGAC